rnacentral:lncRNA from 1 species
AUGCUCAAAAUUCUCCAAGCCAGGCUUCAGCAAUACGUGAACUAUGAACUUCCAGAUGUUCAAGCUGGUUUUAGAAAAGGCAGAGGAACCAGAGAUCAAAUUGCCAACAUCCGCUGGAUCAUCGAAAAAGCAGGAGAGUUCCAGAAAAACAUCUAUUUCUGCUUUAUUGACUAUGCCAAAACCUUUGACUGUGUGGAUCACAAUAAACUGGGGAAAAUUCUGAAAGAGAUGGGAAUACCAGACCACCUGACCUGCCUCUUGAGAAACCUGUAUGCGGGUCAGGAAGCAACAGUUAAAACUGGACAUGGAACAACAGACUGGUUCCAAAUAGGAAAAGGAGUACGUCAAGGCUGUAUAUUGUCAUCCUGCUUGUUUAACUUCUAUGCAGAGUACAUCAUGAGAACCGCUGGGAUGGAAGAAGUACAAGCUGGAAUCAAGAUUGCUGGGAGAAAUAUCAAUAACCUCAGAUAUGCAGAUGACACCACCCUUAUGGCAGAAAGUGAAGAGGAACUAAAGAGGCUCUUGAUGAAAGUGAAAGAGGAGAGUGAAAAAAUUGGCUUAAAGCUCAACACUCAGAAAACGAAGAUCAUGGCAUCUGGUCCCAUCACUUCAUGGGAAAUAGAUGGGGAAACAGUGGAAACAGUGUCAGACUUUAUUUUUCUGGGCUUCAAAAUCACUGCAGAUGGUGAUUGCUGCCAGGAAAUUAAAAGACGCUUACUCCUUGGAAGGAAAGUUAUGACUAACCUAGACAGCAUAUUGAAAAGCAGAGACAUUACUUUUCCAACAAAGAUCCAUCUAGUCAAGGCUAUGGUUUUUCCGGUAGUCAUGUAUGGAUGUGAGAAUUGGAUUGUAAGGAAAGCUGAGUGCCGAAGAAUUGAUACUUUUGAACUGUGGUGUUGGAGAAGACUCCUGAGAGUCCCUUGGACUGCAAGGAGAUCCAACCAGUCCAUCCUAAAGGAGAUCAGUCCUAAGUGUUCAUUGGAAGGACUUAGGCUGAAGCUGAAACUCCAGUACUGUGGCCACCUCAUGAGAAGUGAGUGA